rnacentral:rRNA from 1 species
AUUGAACGCUGGCGGCAGGCUUAACACAUGCAAGUCGAGCGAGCGGCGGACGGGUGAGUAAUGUCUGGGAAAAUGCCUGAUGGAGGGGGAUAACUACUGGAAACGGUAGCUAAUACCGCAUACCAUCAGAUGUGCCCAUAUGGGAUUAGCUAUUAGGUGGGGUAAGGGCUCACCUGGGCGACGAUCCCUAGCCGGUCUGAGAGGAUGACCAGACACACUGGAACUGAGACACGGCCCAUACGCCUACGGGAGGCAGCAGUGGGGAAGAUUGCACAAUGGGCGCAAGCCGGAUGCAGCCAUGCCGCGUGUAUGAAGAAGGCCUUCGGGUUGUAAAGCACGUUCAGCGAGGAGGCGUUACUCGCAGAAGAAGCACCGGCUAACUCCGUGCCAGCAGCCGCGGUAAUUC